AGAGGUUGUCAGCAAGGAUAAGAAAAUCGGGAACAAACAAUCACAGCUAUAUUGAUGGGUCCUUUGAAUGGCCUUUUCUUGGGUCGUCCUUAUCUAAUCAACAUGAUAGACAUAAAAGUUGCUAAUGCCGUUAAUGUUGCAAAUUUUAUCGUGCAUAGUAUUUAACUAAUUCAUGGUUUAUACUUUGAUGAAGGUAAGUUAAAAUUUUUAAUCACGAAUAGAGUAAAAACCGGGCAAUAACCUCUAAAUAAGCUACCCCCAAUUGAAACAUAUUGCUUCCACAUAAGGAAUUUCCAAAGACAAACGAGCUCAUUUCAUAAAUAAAAAUAAUGUUCCUGAUUGCGGGGAACAGAAAGUGGAAUUUUAAUGCUUCUUACCAAAUUCCCUUGCCUCUAGUACCUAUUGUCACACGCUAGCGAACUUGGUUGAAAGCAAGUUAAUUACCAUUUUGAUAACUUCGAAGUUAUCAGGGAAUAUUUAAACAACGUUAAUGAAAAACCGCCAAGUUCAAGCUAAGAAGAUCAUAAAUGAUCAAUUUAUUUAUGAAGAAUUGUAAAUAAUUAAUCAUAAUCUCAACCCAAUUACCGAGGCCAUUACCGUGCUAGAAGGAAAACUCUGUUUUCUUGUUAGUUUGACUAUUGUCGAACAUUUACUCGUCGAUAUCAUCAAGCUAAAGCCAUUCAAAAUAAAAUUAAAUACAUUUUUAGAUGCAAAUCCAGCGUACAACGAUUUUCGAGACCUAGCAAAUUCUGAGGACACUAUUUGCAGAAACACGCCUAUUAUAAAUUAUGACUUAGAGAGGAUUUUCAGCAUAUUGAGAGCCAUUCAUACAAAAAUAAGGUCCUGUUUAUCAGUAAAAAGUAUCAAGAACAAUUUAAUUUUAGAAUGGAAUAUUGAAAUAUUAGAUUCGUAAGAUGAUAUGGUCAAGAACAACAGCAUCAAUGGUGUCAAAGGGGGAGGUCUUAGCUUCAAAUGGCGUGCAAAUAAUUAGUCUAACAUCAGUUUCUUCGUGUAAAGACUUUGGAUUAGCAUAAAGCUAAAUUUUCAUAAUCUCCGAGCUAAAGUGUUAGAAAACUACAGAAAUAUGGCCACGAACAAUAGCAUGAAUGGUGUCAAAGGGGGCCUUAGCUUCAGAUGAAGUGCAAAUAGUUUGUCUAACAUAAGUUUUUUUUGGGUUAAGAAUUGGGUAUUCUCCAUGGAUUCGUUUUAAAUAUGAGCAUAUUAAUUUACAUUUUCUUUUCUGAGCUUAACAAAUUACAUAAAUGAUGAAAAAUGAGGAAUCUACAUUUAUUUGAAGUAUGAAAGGAAAAAGAAGGAUUUUAUUUCUACUCAUAAUUAGUAUAUUUUUUCCUGUAUAAAAAUGUCUCAUUAUUUUUGUAUAUUUAUAAUUUACAUUUGUCCCUAAUAAUUUGUUGAAUCGAUUUGUAAUAUUUAGUGUGGUUUGUUAUCAUUAACUAGUUUCACUUACUGUGUAUAGUUACUAUUAAAAUUUCCAAUUCAUA
rnacentral:lncRNA from 1 species